GAUGAACGCUGGCGGCGUGCUUAACACAUGCAAGUCGAACGGUGAAGCCAAGCUUGCUUGGUGGAUCAGUGGCGAACGGGUGAGUAACACGUGGGCAACCUGCCCUGGACUCUGGGAUAAGCGCUGGAAACGGCGUCUAAUACUGGAUAUGAGACGUGAUCGCAUGGUCAACGUUUGGAAAGAUUUUUCGGUCUGGGAUGGGCUCGCGGCCUAUCAGCUUGUUGGUGAGGUAAUGGCUCACCAAGGCGUCGACGGGUAGCCGGCCUGAGAGGGUGACCGGCCACACUGGGACUGAGACACGGCCCAGACUCCUACGGGAGGCAGCAGUGGGGAAUAUUGCACAAUGGGCGGAAGCCUGAUGCAGCAACGCCGCGUGAGGGAUGACGGCCUUCGGGUUGUAAACCUCUUUUAGCAGGGAAGAAGCGAAAGUGACGGUACCUGCAGAAAAAGCGCCGGCUAACUACGUGCCAGCAGCCGCGGUAAUACGUAGGGCGCAAGCGUUAUCCGGAAUUAUUGGGCGUAAAGAGCUCGUAGGCGGUUUGUCGCGUCUGCUGUGAAAUCCCGAGGCUCAACCUCGGGCCUGCAGUGGGUACGGGCAGACUAGAGUGCGGUAGGGGAGAUUGGAAUUCCUGGUGUAGCGGUGGAAUGCGCAGAUAUCAGGAGGAACACCGAUGGCGAAGGCAGAUCUCUGGGCCGUAACUGACGCUGAGGAGCGAAAGGGUGGGGAGCAAACAGGCUUAGAUACCCUGGUAGUCCACCCCGUAAACGUUGGGAACUAGUUGUGGGGACCAUUCCACGGUUUCCGUGACGCAGCUAACGCAUUAAGUUCCCCGCCUGGGGAGUACGGCCGCAAGGCUAAAACUCAAAGGAAUUGACGGGGACCCGCACAAGCGGCGGAGCAUGCGGAUUAAUUCGAUGCAACGCGAAGAACCUUACCAAGGCUUGACAUACACCAGAACGGGCCAGAAAUGGUCAACUCUUUGGACACUGGUGAACAGGUGGUGCAUGGUUGUCGUCAGCUCGUGUCGUGAGAUGUUGGGUUAAGUCCCGCAACGAGCGCAACCCUCGUUCUAUGUUGCCAGCACGUAAUGGUGGGAACU
rnacentral:rRNA from 1 species